CAUGAUGCAAUCCGGGACAAAUACGAGUCCUCCUUUCAUUUCUUUGCUUUCCUUUCUCACUGGUCUCGCUCGAAGUAGUUCGCGUUUAGGAGCCAGCGCCGCAUGGGGACGGGGAAGGGGUUAAGAGUAAUAAAAGGGAUAAACAUUCUCUCACGAAUGCUUUUAUGUUUUGGUUAUAACAACUUCCAUUUUUUUAGCUGACGCUAUAGAGAUAGAUAGAGAUGAUUAGCUGGCGACCACUCCAGGGUGUGGCAGUUGGGAUAGAGCCGCCUAAGACGAAAACGACAAAGUGUAGAAAAUGAAACUAUUGUCAUUGUCCCUCUCUUGUUCGACUUGCCUUUUUCCAAAUGCCUUAUAUAUUUCUACUGUGGUAUGCGCCGCUUGCAGCGAUGUUUGACGCCCUCCUAGUGAAUUUUUUACGGGCAUUUUUGACUCGAUUGCCGGCGGGAGUGAACCAGUCUGUCGCCAGGCCGCCGUCGGCAUCAGGUGAUGCUCACCUGAUUGUUGUCAAUCGGGAUAAGCACGCAACCAGCUGACUCGCCACCUAUUUGCCUUCAUUGUGCUCAUUGCCAUUUUUUGCCGCCGGAGUUGUUCAAGCGGUGAGAAAAAAAAAUCGAAACAGCACAGAGAAGAUUGUUGGCAACAAACCUGGCAAAUUUCAAUGAGUAAAAAUCAUGUAAAAUGAGGCUUGAUAGUGGUGGAAAAGUCAAGCCCUUCUCUCUGCUCUCAAACUGAUUUGGACAUGUCAGUUUCAUGUGCUGAAACCGGACCCUGCUCAAAUGUUGAUCGAAAACCGCAACUACAACCUAGAAAAAUGGAUACAGUACUAGUUUAUCGAGCAUCUUGCUCAUGCGUACACAAAACACGUUUGAGCUGGGAUUCCCCCUUCCCCAACUCUCCUCAACUGGAAGAAUCAAC